AAGUCGUAACAAGGUUUCCGUAGGUGAACCUGCGGAAGGAUCAUUAACACGAAUUUAUAUCCAAUAUAUUAAACAUCACGGUAACUUUUCUCCUCCCUAAUAUUUUAUUAUAUUAGGCUAACCUUUGUAAUUUAACACAAAAUUAAAUUACAAACAUAUAAUUAUUUUAACCACUUUAAUUUUUAACUCUUUUUGUUUACAUAAUUUGUUUACAAAAACUAACUAAUUUACACAGAAUAUAUAAAUUAUAUAAUUUAUAUUUUCUUGUUGUAUUUUCAUUUACGAAAUUACAAUAUUCUUAUUAAGAACAACUCUUAACAAUGGAUAUCUUGGUUCUC
rnacentral:misc_RNA from 1 species